AGGACGAACGCUGGCGGCGCGCUUAACGACAUGCAAGUCGAACGUGAAGCUGGAGCUUGCUCCGGUGGAAAGUGGCGAACGGGUGCGUAACACGUGAGCAACCUGCCCCGAAGACUGGGAUAACACCGGGAAACCGGUGCUAAUACCGGAUACCUUCUUCCGAUCGCAUGGUUGGAUGAAGAAAUGGAUUCCGCUUCGGGAUGGGCUCGCGGCCUAUCAGCUUGUUGGUGAGGUAACGGCUCACCAAGGCGACGACGGGUAGCCGGCCUGAGAGGGCGACCGGCCACACUGGGACUGAGACACGGCCCAGACUCCUACGGGAGGCAGCAGUGGGGAAUAUUGCGCAAUGGGCGAAAGCCUGACGCAGCGACGCCGCGUGGGGGAUGAAGGCCUUCGGGUUGUAAACCCCUUUCAGCAGGGACGAAGCGAAAGUGACGGUACCUGCAGAAGAAGCGCCGGCUAACUACGUGCCAGCAGCCGCGGUAA
rnacentral:rRNA from 1 species